AGCGAACGCUGGCGGCAGGCUUAACACAUGCAAGUCGAGCGGGCACUUCGGUGUCAGCGGCAGACGGGUGAGUAACACGUGGGAACGUACCCUUUGGUUCGGAAUAACGCUGGGAAACUAGCGCUAAUACCGGAUACGCCCUUUUGGGGAAAGGCUUGCUGCCGAAGGAUCGGCCCGCGUCUGAUUAGCUAGUUGGUGGGGUAAUGGCCUACCAAGGCGACGAUCAGUAGCUGGUCUGAGAGGAUGAUCAGCCACACUGGGACUGAGACACGGCCCAGACUCCUACGGGAGGCAGCAGUGGGGAAUAUUGGACAAUGGGCGCAUGCCUGAUCCAGCCAUGCCGCGUGAGUGAUGAAGGCCUUAGGGUUGUAAAGCUCUUUUGUCCGGGACGAUAAUGACGGUACCGGAAGAAUAAGCCCCGGCUAACUUCGUG
rnacentral:rRNA from 1 species